rnacentral:rRNA from 1 species
CAUUCCGCGGCGUACGGACNGCGCGCUUCGAUGNUCGUCGGCCUCGGUCGGCGUGCACGACGCGCGUACGUCGACGUCCGCGGACGGCGUGCACUUCUCUCUUAGUAAAUNACAUCGCGACCCGUUCGAUGUCGGUCUAAGCGCCGUUCGGGAGCCCCANUUGUGCCUNNUCACGGGUAUNAGNUGGGACCGCGANNNCGGUGGCCGACCGGCCGUCGGACGGUAGUUCUGACGAAACGCGCACGCGUUUACANACGCGUCCGGCCCGACGCAAGUNCAACGUCGUAUNCUCACGUACNCGCCUCAGCGCGGACGCNGGGUGCGGCGCGUCUGCGUAUCGCCNGCCGUGNCAGUCUCGGACUGUGCGCGUCUCUGUCUGCGAUGAUUCAGUUUCGGGCACUCGCAGGACCCGUCUUGAAACACGGACCAAGGAGUCUAGCAUGUAUGCGAGUCAUUGAGACAANNUAAAACUGAAAGGCGCAACGAAAGUGAAGGCGCGCGCUAGCCGCGCGCUCAGGGAGGAUGGAGCGUCGAUCUCGGUCGAUCUCUCGCACUCCCGAGGCGUCUCGUUUCCAA